rnacentral:rRNA from 1 species
GACGAACGCUGGCGGCGUGCCUAACACAUGCAAGUCGAACGAAGCAUUUGGAGCUGAUCUCUUCGGAGUGACGCGCCUUAUGACUUAGUGGCGGACGGGUGAGUAACACGUGAGCAACCUGCCUCUCAGAGUGGAAUAACAGUUGGAAACGGCUGCUAAUACCGCAUAACGUCAUAGUACCGCAUGAUACCUUGACCAAAGAUUUAUCGCUGAGAGAUGGGCUCGCGUCCGAAUAGGUAGAUGGUGGGGUAACGGCCUACCAUGCCGACGAUCGGUAGCCGGACUGAGAGGUUGAUCGGCCACAUUGGGACUGAGACACGGCCCAGACUCCUACGGGAGGCAGCAGUGGGGGAUAUUGCACAAUGGGCGCAAGCCUGAUGCAGCAACGCCGCGUGCGGGAAGACGGCCUUCGGGUUGUAAACCGCUGUCCUUGGGGAAGAAGCAAAUGACGGUACCCAAGAAGGAAGCCACGGCUAACUACGUGCCAGCAGCCGCAGUAAUAC